UGGGGAAUAUUGCACAAUGGGGGAAACCCUGAUGCAGCGACGCCGCGUGAGCGAAGAAGUAUUUCGGUAUGUAAAGCUCUAUCAGCAGGAAAGAAAAUGACGGUACCUGACUAAGAAGCUCCGGCUAAAUACGUGCC
rnacentral:rRNA from 1 species